rnacentral:misc_RNA from 1 species
UUGCUUCCAUUUGCUUGCUUGCCUUUGGCAUUGCCGGGAGUGGUUUGUCUGGUACCGUCGAGUCUCUCUAACGGGAGGGCGUGUGAGUGGCAUUUGGGAUGUUUGUGCUGUCUGGCUCCAUGGUCGUGGUCAUCGAACUUUCAGCACACAGCCCUUGUCAUGUUCGCCUUGUGUCAUUUUGGCCCGGCGUUCGAUUAUGGUUCUUGUGUUGCCUACCUGUUAAGUGGUAUUCACGUGCCUCUUAUGACCCGUUCCAUCCAGACCCCUCGAGAGGUUGUUGGAGGAUUCGGAAGUGAUGCGUGUGAUGUGUUAGCUGUGCAUAGUAAUGGCUUGCGUUCUCACACGUGUCUAGUGUUCCCUUGGAUGCGGUGCAUGCGGCGAACGUGGGCUGACCAGUUUGUCCCGUUGAGUCCCUUUGAUUUAUCGGUUCCCUUGAAUGACACUUUGCCGUGGUGUCGGUCUUGCUUAACCAUCCGUGGUGGCAACACUGGCACGUGGAACAAAGUCGUUGAUG